CAAGUAGCGGUUGAAGUGGAAUUCUUUUUCCAGCUCUACCAGCUGCGCACUCGUGUACGCCGUGCGGACCCGCUUGGACGCUGGGCCCGGCGGGCUCUUGUCCUCGCAGCUCUCUCCUGGGCAGGGAGGGAGAGAGAGAGGGCGCUGAGCGAGGAGGAAGAGAAGUGCUUUCCUAGUUCCUUUUUCCUCCUCCCUUUCCCCCCACCCAAUCCAGGCUAGAGCGGGGAGGAGGCGUUUGAGAGGUACAAUUCCAAGGGGGAACUCACCUCCUCCUCAGGCCUACCUGCCAGUCGCACCUGAAACCUCCAUCUGCUUUCUGAGAUCUGUUUCACUGUGCCCACCCUCUCCGCUCCAGCCUAGCCCAUCAUCUCAUCUCCACCCAAAGGCCAUGAAGGAGUUCAGUGAGAGACUAGGAGCAGCUGGCCUUGGAAUCAGACUGGUUAUCUUCAAAUCUACCACUUUGCAGUUUCAUGAUCUUGGGCAAGCUGCUUAUCAUUUUUAACAGUUUCCUUAUUUGUAAAAUGAGAAUGUUAUACCUACCUCAAAAGAUUCAUUGGAAAAUUUAAUUAGUUAAUGCUUAUAAA